GUCCGGUGCGGCUACGGCUUCACCGGCGAGUCCUUGAAAACUUCAAGGGAGAGCCAAUCCUUCACCGCAAGGUGUAAACACAUGAACAAGU
rnacentral:ncRNA from 23 species